rnacentral:rRNA from 1 species
CACACUAUCAUUAACUGAAUCCAUAGGUUAAUGAGGCGAACCGGGGGAACUGAAACAUCUAAGUACCCCGAGGAAAAGAAAUCAACCGAGAUUCCCCCAGUAGCGGCGAGCGAACGGGGAGCAGCCCAGAGCCUGAAUCAGUGUGUGUGUUAGUGGAAGCGUCUGGAAAGGCGCGCGAUACAGGGUGACAGCCCCGUACACAAAAAUGCACAUGCUGUGAGCUCGAUGAGUAGGGCGGGACACGUGGUAUCCUGUCUGAAUAUGGGGGGACCAUCCUCCAAGGCUAAAUACUCCUGACUGACCGAUAGUGAACCAGUACCGUGAGGGAAAGGCGAAAAGAACCCCGGCGAGGGGAGUGAAAAAGAACCUGAAACCGUGUACGUACAAGCAGUGGGAGCACGCUUAGGCGUGUGACUGCGUACCUUUUGUAUAAUGGGUCAGCGACUUAUAUUCUGUAGCAAGGUUAACCGAAUAGGGGAGCCGAAGGGAAACCGAGUCUUAACUGGGCGUUAAGUUGCAGGGUAUAGACCCGAAACCCGGUGAUCUAGCCAUGGGCAGGUUGAAGGUUGGGUAACACUAACUGGAGGACCGAACCGACUAAUGUUGAAAAAUUAGCGGAUGACUUGUGGCUGGGGGUGAAAGGCCAAUCAAACCGGGAGAUAGCUGGUUCUCCCCGAAAGCUAUUUAGGUAGCGCCUCGUGAAUUCAUCUCCGGGGGUAGAGCACUGUUUCGGCAAGGGGGUCAUCCCGACUUACCAACCCGAUGCAAACUGCGAAUACCGGAGAAUGUUAUCACGGGAGACACACGGCGGGUGCUAACGUCCGUCGUGAAGAGGGAAACAACCCAGACCGCCAGCUAAGGUCCCAAAGUCAUGGUUAAGUGGGAAACGAUGUGGGAAGGCCCAGACAGCCAGGAUGUUGGCUUAGAAGCAGCCAUCAUUUAAAGAAAGCGUAAUAGCUCACUGGUCGAGUCGGCCUGCGCGGAAGAUGUAACGGGGCUAAACCAUGCACCGAAGCUGCGGCAGCGACGCUGAUGCGUUGUUGGGUAGGGGAGCGUUCUGUAAGCCUGCGAAGGUGUGCUGUGAGGCAUGCUGGAGGUAUCAGAAGUGCGAAUGCUGACAUAAGUAACGAUAAAGCGGGUGAAAAGCCCGCUCGCCGGAAGACCAAGGGUUCCUGUCCAACGUUAAUCGGGGCAGGGUGAGUCGACCCCUAAGGCGAGGCCGAAAGGCGUAGUCGAUGGGAAACAGGUUAAUAUUCCUGUACUUGGUGUUACUGCGAAGGGGGGACGGAGAAGGCUAUGUUGGCCGGGCGACGGUUGUCCCGGUUUAAGCGUGUAGGCUGGUUUUCCAGGCAAAUCCGGAAAAUCAAGGCUGAGGCGUGAUGACGAGGCACUACGGUGCUGAAGCAACAAAUGCCCUGCUUCCAGGAAAAGCCUCUAAGCAUCAGGUAACAUCAAAUCGUACCCCAAACCGACACAGGUGGUCAGGUAGAGAAUACCAAGGCGCUUGAGAGAACUCGGGUGAAGGAACUAGGCAAAAUGGUGCCGUAACUUCGGGAGAAGGCACGCUGAUAUGUAGGUGAAGUCCCUCGCGGAUGGAGCUGAAAUCAGUCGAAGAUACCAGCUGGCUGCAACUGUUUAUUAAAAACACAGCACUGUGCAAACACGAAAGUGGACGUAUACGGUGUGACGCCUGCCCGGUGCCGGAAGGUUAAUUGAUGGGGUCAGCGCAAGCGAAGCUCUUGAUCGAAGCCCCGGUAAACGGCGGCCGUAACUAUAACGGUCCUAAGGUAGCGAAAUUCCUUGUCGGGUAAGUUCCGACCUGCACGAAUGGCGUAAUGAUGGCCAGGCUGUCUCCACCCGAGACUCAGUGAAAUUGAACUCGCUGUGAAGAUGCAGUGUACCCGCGGCAAGACGGAAAGACCCCGUGAACCUUUACUAUAGCUUGACACUGAACAUUGAGCCUUGAUGUGUAGGAUAGGUGGGAGGCUUUGAAGUGUGGACGCCAGUCUGCAUGGAGCCGACCUUGAAAUACCACCCUUUAAUGUUUGAUGUUCUAACGUUGACCCGUGAUCCGGGUUGCGGACAGUGUCUGGUGGGUAGUUUGACUGGGGCGGUCUCCUCCUAAAGAGUAACGGAGGAGCACGAAGGUUGGCUAAUCCUGGUCGGACAUCAGGAGGUUAGUGCAAUGGCAUAAGCCAGCUUGACUGCGAGCGUGACGGCGCGAGCAGGUGCGAAAGCAGGUCAUAGUGAUCCGGUGGUUCUGAAUGGAAGGGCCAUCGCUCAACGGAUAAAAGGUACUCCGGGGAUAACAGGCUGAUACCGCCCAAGAGUUCAUAUCGACGGCGGUGUUUGGCACCUCGAUGUCGGCUCAUCACAUCCUGGGGCUGAAGUAGGUCCCAAGGGUAUGGCUGUUCGCCAUUUAAAGUGGUACGCGAGCUGGGUUUAGAACGUCGUGAGACAGUUCGGUCCCUAUCUGCCGUGGGCGCUGGAGAACUGAGGGGGGCUGCUCCUAGUACGAGAGGACCGGAGUGGACGCAUCACUGGUGUUCGGGUUGUCAUGCCAAUGGCACUGCCCGGUAGCUAAAUGCGGAAGAGAUAAGUGCUGAAAGCAUCUAAGCACGAAACUUGCCCCGAGAUGAGUUCUCCCUGAC